CACAAAUAUCGACUAGCUUCAGCGAUGGAUCGGUCGAUUCGCGUAUCGAUGAAAAACGCAGCUAGCUGCGUUAUUUACCACGAAUUGCAGACGCUUAGAGUGGUAAAAUUUUGAACGCAUAGCGCCGUUGGGUUUUCCCUUCGGCACGUCUGGUUCAGGGUUGUUAAUGAAUUACUACAGUGUGGCCAAUUAUAACACUGUUUGUCGAAU
rnacentral:rRNA from 1 species